rnacentral:rRNA from 1 species
GAGUUUGAUCGUGGCUCAGAUUGAACGCUGGCGGCAUGCCUUACACAUGCAAGUCGAACGGCAGCAUGAUCUAGCUUGCUAGAUUGAUGGCGAGUGGCGAACGGGUGAGUAAUACAUCGGAACGUGCCCUGUAGUGGGGGAUAACUAGUCGAAAGAUUAGCUAAUACCGCAUACGACCUGAGGGUGAAAGUGGGAGACCGCAAGGCCUCAUGCUAUAGGAGCGGCCGAUGUCUGAUUAGCUAGUUGGUGGGGUAAAGGCCCACCAAGGCGACGAUCAGUAGCUGGUCUGAGAGGACGAUCAGCCACACUGGGACUGAGACACGGCCCAGACUCCUACGGGAGGCAGCAGUGGGGAAUUUUGGACAAUGGGCGAAAGCCUGAUCCAGCAAUGCCGCGUGUGUGAAGAAGGCCUGG